rnacentral:rRNA from 1 species
UACUGCUCAGUAACACGUGGACAACCUACCCUACAGAGGGGGAUAACCCCGGGAAACUGGGGAUAAUACCCCAUAGACUAUGGAUGCUGGAAUGCUUCGUAGUUGAAAGGUCCGCCGCUGUAGGAUGGGUCUGCGGCCGAUUAGGUUGUUGUUGGGGUAACGGCCCAACAAGCCUGUAAUCGGUACGGGUUGUGGGAGCAAGAGCCCGGAGAUGGAUUCUGAGACACGAAUCCAGGCCCUACGGGGCGCAGCAGGCGCGAAAACUUUGCAAUGCGGGAAACCGUGACAAGGGAACUCUGAGUGCCCGUUAAAUCGGGCUGUCCAUCGGUUUAAAUAACCGGUGAAGAAAGGGCCGGGCAAGACCGGUGCCAGCCGCCGCGGUAAUACCGGCGGCUCGAGUGGUGGCCACUAUUACUGGGCUUAAAGCGUUCGUAGCUGGUUUGUUAAGUCUCUGGGGAAAUCUUCCGGCUUAACCGGAAGGCGUCUCAGGGAUACUGGCAGACUAGGGACCGGGAGAGGUGAGAGGUACUCCAGGGGUAGGAGUGAAAUCCUGUAAUCCUUGGGGGACCACCUGUGGCGAAGGCGUCUCACCAGAACGGCUCCGACAGUGAGGGACGAAAGCUGGGGGAGCAAACCGGAUUAGAUACCCGGGUAGUCCCAGCUGUAAACGAUGCGCGUUAGGUGUAUCAGUGACCACGAGUCACUGAGGUGCCGAAGAGAAAUCGUGAAACGUGCCGCCUGGGAAGUACGGUCGCAAGGCUGAAACUUAAAGGAAUUGGCGGGGGAGCACA